rnacentral:rRNA from 1 species
UACGUAGGGUGCGAGCAUUGUCCGGAAUUAUUGGGCGUAAAGAGCUUGUAGGCGGUUUGUCGCGUCUGCUGUGAAAUCCCAGGGCUUAACCCUGGGCUUGCAGUGGGUACGGGCAGACUGGAGUGCGGUAGGGGAGAAUGGAAUUCCUGGUGUAGCGGUGGAAUGCGCAGAUAUCAGGAGGAACACCGGUGGCGAAGGCGGGUCUCUGGGCCGUAACUGACGCUGAGGAGCGAAAAGCAUGGGGGAGCGAACAGG